AGGGUUGUGGCUCAGUGGUAGAGCGCUUACCUAUCAUGUGUGAGGCCCUGGGUUAGAUCCUCAGCACCACAU
rnacentral:tRNA from 1 species